UAAGCUCUUUGACAAACUGUCAGAAUUUAAGUGCUCCCGAGCUAGUGAGGGUCCAGUUGGCUCCUCUCUGUGACGUACAUUUCAUCAGUAGACGAGUCCAAAAAUCCAUGCAGACAGUCACAUGCUUUUCUGUGUCACCAACAAAGCUUUUCCUCCAAAUGAAAGCGCUAAAAUAGCUUAAUGACUUUUUCUUAAUUUCAACAGUUGCCCGUGUGAGUACAACAGAAUAACAGAAUCACAAGUUGGGAGAUAUUUCAAAAUUGAAGAUUUCCUAAAGGCUUAACCAGGGCAUCACGUGGUCAGAUGCAGUCAUCUGAAGUUUUACUUUUACACUCUUUGGGUUUCAUCUUCAUUCUUAAGAGUGAUGCAGCCUUAAAUCUUAGUGGGAUAUAAAAAAAGAGCCUCUGCCUUAAACUGAAUUUCAACAAUGAUUGCCUACAGCGAGAAGGAAGAACUCCCUUUUAACAGGAAGACCUCUUAAAUCUUCAGACGUGUGGCUGAACCAGGCUCAGGGAGGAACAUAUAGAGACCAGGGGUCACGGAAACUUCCAUAAGAGGAAAACAAGAAUAAUAUAUUAGUAUGAGAUGGAUUCUGUGUGGAGAAUUGCAUGUCUACCUGCAUGUUCCAGUUUCUUUCUAGUUCAAUUUCAUGCAUGUUAGGUUAAUGGUCAUCCUACAUUGUCCAUAGACAAGGCAGAUACACAAAAGUGCCCAAUAAACAGAAUACAAUCUGUUUUGUAAGCCUAAAAAAAAUCCAUAAAACACAACACAAAUCUAAUGAGGAAAAUGUGAAAGUUAAAAAAGUAAGCUAGCAACUACGGCACAGGAAACUGAGAAGAAGCAUUCAGGAUCAAACUCGGCCAACACCCCAGAGUCCAUGACAGUGAAUCUUCAAGAUGGACUAGUCAGGCAGGAGGAAGAAAGGCUUAUUGAUGUAGUGAAGGAAGACAUGCAGAGGAUUAGUGUGACAGAUGAGGAUGUAUGACCUGAGAUUGAGUUGCCCACCACUGCCCUAGAGGGAGGAGUGCCCAAAAGAAAGUCUAAAGCACUGCAGCAUCAGUAUGACUAGAAGAGCACAAUAUAAAUGCAAGUGCAUCACCUUAAAUGUACUUAAAAUGUGCAAAUACAUAAUUUCAUUAGAGCUGGUCACUGUAUUUUAUCAGUAUUUAUUUAAACUGAUUGAUUUAUUUUUGCCUUUACUGUUCAUUCUUUGCACAGUGCAAUGAGUGAAGAGUAAAGCAAGGGAGGAAAGAGUGUGUGGGAAUGACAUGCAGGUAAUGGGCUGCAGCAGAACCAAUCCAAGGCUCUGCAGUUUAGCGCCAGGCUGUUCUGAUGACCUAUAGCAACACCCUCCAGCAAACCCCCAAAACUCCAUCCCCGUAGAGACCGUGUCUGCUCCCAUACAAGCAAACUCCAAACCAAAAUCGGCAAACAACCAUCCAUCCAUCCAACCAUCCAUCCAUCCAUCCAUCCAACCAUCCAUCCAUCCAUCCAUCCAUCCAUCCAUCCAUCCAUCACUGUUAAAGGUGAAUUAAAACUCUAUUUAUCCUUGUCCACUCUAACUGGACAAGACAAAGACAGUUUUAGUUGUUUCCAUCAUCUUCAGUGUGUUUAUCUGAUGUCUCUGACUUUUUUGUCAGGUUUAGUGCCCAGUCAAAUAAUGUUGUUCAUCCAUUUAUAUGUUGAAAUGACACUGCAUUUAACUUAAACACAUAACUCAUAGGCUGGAGAGGCUAUCGUGCCUUUGGAAGACCUUAAUUUGACCUGGAAUAUCUGUGUUUUGCUUUACAUAGCAAUACUAUAGUUUAGGAUCCCUGGGUCUGUUUCAUCGUAUGUUUUGUUUGUUGGACUUCUGAAUCAAUAUUGUAUUGUGUUUUGAGAAAAGUGUUCUGGAUUUAUCUGGAUUUGUUCGUGCCUUUGAUGUCCCCCCGUGCUUCCUGGGUUAUUGUCUAUAUUUCUAGUUCUUAGUCCUCGUUCAUUCUCAGUUCCCUUUUGUGUCGAGGUUGUCUUCGUCUCUCCGUGUCCCUCACUCUCUCCGUGUUGUUUUUCCUGUUUUAUUUUGUCAGCCCCUUGUCUCGUGCAUGUUCAGUUUUGCUUCCCCUAUCUCGUCUGUUUGCUUCAGCUGUGUUCCCAUGUGUCUCCACUUCCCCUGACCACCCUCCUGUGUUUAUUUGGUGUCAGGUCCCCUUAUCAGAGUGUCCUGUUAUCUUCUGGUUUCUGUCGUUCCAAGUUUAGUUUUUCAAUAGUUCCCAUUGACACUUGGACUUUUGCCUUUGUUUUGUACCUGUUCCAUCGGUUCAAUAAAGGGCUCGCUUCUGUUCAAA